CUUCCUGCCGCUGCGCUGGUAAGCUUGUGUGUUGGUUCGCUAUGGCCCGUACUAAGCAGACUGCCCGCAAGUCGACCGGCGGCAAGGCCCCGAGGAAGCAGCUGGAUGACGGCGCGCCCGCAAGAGCGCGCCGGCCACGGGCGGGGUGAAGAAGCCGCACCGCUACCGGCCCGGCACCGUGGCCCUGCGGGAGAUCCGGCGCUACCAGAAGUCCACGGAGCUGCUGAUCCGGGCAAGCUGCCCUCCAGCGGCUGGUACGCGAGAUCGCGCAGGACUUCGAAGACGGACCUGCGCUUCCAGAGUUCUGCCACCGUGAUGGCGCUGCAGAGGCCAGCGCGAGGCCUACCUGGUGGGGCUGUUCGAAGACACGAACCUGUGCGCCAUCCACGCCAAGCGCGUGACCAUCAUGCCCAAGGACACCCUAUUGGGCCCGCGCUGCAUCCGUGGUGAGCGGUUGGCCUGGCCGCUGCGGCGGUUUUCCUGGCGCCGCCGCUUGGGGGCUUUGACGGUCCGGCUCUUCCUGCGCGUGACUGCCCUGGUGGCGGGGGGAGGUGGGGUGGAGGGGACAGGCGUCGGUCCCGAGGCCAGGGGGUCACCAGGCGGACGCUCAGGGCCUGCGGUCCCGAGAGCGCCUGCCUUUGCGGAAGUGGAGGGCCACACGCCUGCAGCCAAGGCCAAACCGCGCUCACCCGGCGGCCCUCCGGCUAGCGAGGAAAUGACCACCUCGGCCUCGCCGGGUUCUGCGGGCAAACGGGGAGAACUGGCGCUGGGGCUGGUCGGGCUCACGCCCACCAGCACAGUGGGCACCGCGGGUCUCCUCGUAAAUGAGGCCGAGAUCCGCUUAACGCCAACAUUAGACGCCGAAUGGCAGGCUGACAUGACUGCUACAGCCCGGGAAAGAUACUUCGUCAGGCAGGCACGGCCCCCUGAUAUACAAGAGUAUCGGACUAGAUUGAAAACCGAAAGCGCGCGGCGGGAAGCUUUCAAUUCGUCCCCGCCUCUCCUCGACAUUUCAUACAGCAUGGCCCGUACUAAGCAGACUGCUCGCAAGUCGACCGGCGGCAAGGCCCCGAGGAAGCAGCUGGCCACCAAAGCUGCCCGCAAGAGCGCGCCGGCCACGGGCGGGGUGAAGAAGCCGCACCGCUACCGGCCCGGCACCGUGGCCCUGCGGGAGAUCCGGCGCUACCAGAAGUCCACGGAGCUGCUGAUCCGCAAGCUCCCUUUCCAGCGGCUGGUACGCGAGAUCGCGCAGGACUUUAAGACGGACCUGCGCUUCCAGAGUUCUGCGGUGAUGGCGCUGCAGGAGGCCAGCGAGGCCUACCUGGUGGGGCUGUUCGAAGACACGAACCUGUGCGCCAUCCAUGCCAAGCGCGUGACCAUCAUGCCCAAGGACAUCCAGUUGGCCCGCCGCAUCCGCGGGGAGCGGGCCUAAGGCAUUUUUAAGUGGUCGAUCUAAAGGCUCUUUUCAGAGCCACUAC